rnacentral:lncRNA from 15 species
CUGUAAUGCUGAAAUGGUUCAGCCUUUCUCAGAAGGCUAGUAAAGGAGGCGUGCUUGUGCUUUCGAAGAAUCCCUGUAGUCUGAAGGGGGUUUCAUGUUGGUGACAAUGCUGAUGGAUCGGACUAUACGAGAUCAUCUUGUGAAGCGGCUUUUCGUGCUCAUGAGGCUGAAGACAUACAAGGGAGAAGAUGAUCUGCUGGAUCCUGCUGCUCAUCAACCUGACCUCCUGUGUCUGUGGAACAUUUGUAGUGAAUGUGACACAGACCUCCUAUCAGGCAGAGGAGAACCAUAACAUCACACUGGAAUGGACGUUCACAACCAACACUGACAGUUCCCUCAACUCUCUUUCUGUCUACUGUGAACUGAUUACUGAUCAGAAGGUUUCAGUCCUGUAUUAUCUACAUGAAGGUGUCACGGUCCCACAGUCUCAGGAUGAACAGUUUAAAGGACGAGUCCAGUGUGACAAAGACGUCCUCAGAGAAGGACAAAUCAGACUUCAUGUGUCCAGACUCAGGACUGAAGACUCGGGCCUGUACUUGUGUGAAGUGAACACAACUUAUGGUGUGAGCUAUAAUGAAUGUCGACUCAGUGUCACUGCAGCUGUUGUAGAGGCCAAACCUCAGAGACCAACAGUGAGACCACAACCAGAGAGUCCACAACCAGAGAGACGGGGAAGGAUCGGCCUCUAUGUUGGACUGACAGCAGUUCUACUGGCUGUCUGUGUCGGACUCUGCUCUGCCUCCUGUCACUGUUUUACUAAAUCUGCUGAUAAGAAAGGAAACGUCUCUGUAGCUGUAUAGAUGUUGAGUUUCUUAGAGAAACAACCCAUCAGGACUAACAGUACUCUGUCUGGAGGACCCUCUUUCGGUCGCAGUGAGCCAUCAGAUCGUUGGUAAUGGCUCACCUUGGAGGACAAUUAAGACGUUUUUUGAUCCUGAUUGUUUUAUCCUGUAUAUUUUAACUGGUUAAAAGUCUGUCGCCAUUGGCUUUUAGACCUGAAGUCAAGAGAGUUAUAAACUGGAUAUGUGUCUGUUGGACUGCCCCGACUGCUAUUAGCUAGCCUGUUGGCUCAGCUAUCUGGUCGCUUUAAAUCUCUGGACACCUGUCCACUACUCCUGUCUUUAGGACCUGGACGACACGGUUUGAACACGGAAGAUAGAGACAUGGACUUGACUCAGCCCCUCCAGUCGGGGUUUCCAGUCGUAGUGAAUGUGACCCAACCUCCUAUCCAUCACACUAGAAUGGACGUUCCCAACCAACACUGACAGUUCCCUCAACACUCUUUCUAUCAACUGUGACCUGACUACACAGCAGCUCUGCUGGUUGUUCGUUGCCUUUUAUUCAUUACUGUCUGUCUAGAGAAUGAGAUUUUUACUCAGAGUCCAGUGGUGGAUGUGAGAACAGUUAGAGCUCAGCAUCUGGAUCAGAGGAAACAAUUUGAUCACAGUUUUGUUACAUAGUAGUUUCUCGUUGGCUGAGAUACAAGAUAAACAUGUCUACCUCAUAUACCAUGUAUAAUCUAUGAAAAUUCUCUUUUUUAACCUUUUGUAUUUAAAGCUCAAUGUGAGGAAUUUAUUCAAGAUAAAAUAUAUUUUUCUUUAUAUUCUAUGGAUCAUGUAGCUGACUCCUGCAGGAUGUAAUGAAGUGUUCAGGUUCACUAAAGAUCCUUCAGAUCUGCCUGUUCUGAUGUGUUCUGUGGUCCACUAAUCAGAAGGUUGUUGGUUCCAUCCCUGACUCCUCUUACUGCAUGUCGAAGUGUCCUUAAGCAAGAUACGGCACCCCAAAUUUUUAUUGUGAAUGAAUGAGUUCAUGGGGCUUUGCCAACACUGUGUGAAUGUGUGUGAAAGGGUGAAUGUGGCAUG